GGCGGUAGGCCUAACACAUGCAAGUCGAACGGCAGCACAGUAAGAGCUUGCUCUUACGGGUGGCGAGUGGCGGACGGGUGAGGAAUACAUCGGAAUCUACCUUUUGGUGGGGGAUAACGUAGGGAAACUUACGCUAAUACCGCAUACGCCCUUCGGGGGAAAGCCGGGGACCUUCGGGCCUGGCGCUGAUAGAUGAGCCGAUGUCGGAUUAGCUUGUUGGUGAGGUAAUGGCUCACCAAGGCGACGAUCCGUAGCUGGUCUGAGAGGAUGAUCAGCCACACUGGAACUGAGACACGGUCCAGACUCCUACGGGAGGCAGCAGUGGGGAAUAUUGGACAAUGGGCGCAAGCCUGAUCCAGCCAUACCGCGUGGGUGAAGAAGGCCUUCGGGUUGUAAAGCCCUUUUGUUGGGAAAGAAAAGCAUUCGGUUAAUACCCGGGUGUUCUGACGGUACCCAAAGAAUAAGCACCGGCUAACUUCGUGCCAGCAGCCGCGGUAAUACGAAGGGUGCAAGCGUUACUCGGAAU
rnacentral:rRNA from 1 species